GGGCGUAAGCGAGCGCAGGCGGAAUGAUAAGUCUGAUGUGAAAGCCCACGGCUCAACCGUGGAACUGCAUCGGAAACUGUCAUUCUUGAGUACAGAAGAGGAGAGUGGAACUCCAUGUGUAGCGGUGGAAUGCGUAGAUAUAUGGAAGAACACCAGUGGCGAAGGCGGCUCUCUGGUCUGCAACUGACGCUGAGGCUCGAAAGCAUGGGUAGCGAACAGGAUUAGAUACCCUGGUAGUCCAUGCCGUAAACGAUGAGCGCUAGGUGUUGGGGACUUUCCGGUCCUCAGUGCCGCAGCAAACGCAUUAAGCGCUCCGCCUGGGGAGUACGACCGCAAGGUUGAAACUCAAAGGAAUUGACGGGGGCCCGCACAAGCGGUGGAGCAUGUGGUUUAAUUCGAAGCAACGCGAAGAACCUUACCAGGUCUUGACAUCCUGCGCUACACCUAGAGAUAGGUGGUUCCCUUCGGGGACGCAGAGACAGGUGGUGCAUGGCUGUCGUCAGCUCGUGUCGUGAGAUGUUGGGUUAAGUCCCGCAACGAGCGCAACCCUUGUCUUUAGUUGCCAUCAUUAAGUUGGGCACUCUAAAGAGACUGCCGGUGAUAAACCGGAGGAAGGUGGGGAUGACGUCAAGUCAUCAUGCCCCUUAUGACCUGGGCUACACACGUGCUACAAUGGGCAGUACAACGAGAAGCAAGCCCGCGAGGGUAAGCGGAUCUCUUAAAGCUGUUCUCAGUUCGGACUGCAGGCUGCAACUCGCCUGCACGAAGCUGGAAAUCGCUAGUAAUCGCGGAUCAGCACGCCGCGG
rnacentral:rRNA from 1 species